GGAUUAGAUACCCUGGUAGUCCACGCAGUAAACGAUGAGUGCUAGAUAUUUGGAACACUAUGUUCUGGGUGUCGUAGCUAACGCGUUAAGCACUCCGCCUGAGGAGUACGGUCGCAAGACUAAAACUCAAAGGAAUUGACGGGGACCCGCACAAGCGGUGGAACAUGUGGUUUAAUUCGAAGAUACGCGAAGAACCUUACCAGGUCUUGACAUACUAGUCGUAUUUCAUAGUAAUAUGAAAGUCAGCUCGGCUGGACUAGUACAGGUGUUGCAUGGUUGUCGUCAGCUCGUGUCG
rnacentral:rRNA from 1 species